AUGGCUCAGGAGUGAACGCUAGCGACAGGCUUAACACAUGCAGUCGAGGGGCAGCACGGGAGUAGCAAUACAACUGGUGGCGACCGGCGCACGGGUGAGUAACGCGUAUGCAACCUACCUAUCAGAGGGGAAUAACCCGGCGAAAGUCGGACUAAUACCGCAUAAAACAGGGGCACCGCAUGGUGAUAUUUGUUAAAGAGAUUCGCUGAUAGAUGGGCAUGCGUUCCAUUAGGUAGUUGGUGAGGUAACGGCUCACCAAGCCGACGAUGGAUAGGGGAACUGAGAGGUUGGUCCCCCACACUGGUACUGAGACACGGACCAGACUCCUACGAGAGGCAGCAGUGAGGAAUAUUGGUCAAUGGGCGGGAGCCUGAACCAGCCAAGUCGCGUGAAGGAAGAAGGAUCUAUGGUUCGUAAACUUCUUUUGCAGGGGAAUAAAGUGCAGGACGUGUCCUGUUUUGUAUGUACCCUGAGAAUAAGGAUCGGCUAACUCCGUGCCAGCCGCGGC
rnacentral:rRNA from 1 species